AGAAGGAGUCUUUGAAGAAUAAGAAAGUCUAAGACCUUUGGUUUGAGAGGGAGGCUUUGCAGUUACGGAAGAGAAGUGAGGAGCUCGAGUUAAAUAGAGAAGUCGUUAGUUUGUUAUGCUUAUGAUUUGUAUGUGAUUGUAGAGAGACGAUAUGAGUCCUCUGUUUCCAGUCGCUAUGAGACUGUCGAUGGUGCUGAACUCGUGAUGAGAGUGAUUCAUUGUUGAGAUACAAAGUUGUAAACACUUCUUCAUUCUUAUUCAAUACACGAGUUUGGGAUUUACAAGUAAUAGAUAACUACAGUCUAUCAUUGGUACAGAGAAACUUGAUCGGAAGCACCGCGAGGUAUUGAGAUGGUGGAAACACGUAACGGAGGUGAUCAGGAGAAGAUGAUAGCAACGGAAGCUUCAAAAUCGGUGGAUCUUCAGCAGAUUCAAGAAGAAAUGGAGCUGGCGAAGCACAACUACGAUAAGCUAACUCGGAGUGAACGCGCAACGACGGCAAGAUUCGAUUCGAUGGAGAAGACGAUCGAAACGUUAGCGACUGAUUCGACGGGACGAUUCGAAGCUAUAGAGAAGCAGAUGAACCAUAUCACGGAUGUAUUGACUCGAUUGGAGAACUCAGUCGUCUUCACUCAACGUCAAGGGAAGGAGGUAGCAUCUACUUCGGAUAACAAUACUGAUCAGGUACCGAUUACUUUACCUGAAACGGGAAGAUCUCCAACACAGUUAGGUUAUUGGGGAAUCGAUGGUACUCUGGCGAAUCGGGAUAGAAUGCUGCGUAAAAUUGAAAUGCAUGUGUUCUCUGGUGCUUUGCCCUUCGAUUGGAUUUCUCGUGUUAAAAGAUUUUUCAGGUUUGGUAACUACAAUGAAGAAGAGAAGUUAAAUCUGGUAUCACUGAGUCUGGAAGGUCCGGUACUGCAGUGGUUUAACGGCAAACUGAUGAAUGAUCCGUUUGUCAAUUGGGAGCAAUUUACUCAGCGAAUGUUGGACAGAUUUGGUGGUGCUAUUGAUAAUGAUCCAGCAGCAAGAUUGUUUCGACUGAAGCAAGAAGGAGAUAUUGCAGAUUUUGUGAAUGAGUUUGAAGUUCUGAGGAACCAAGUGACGGGUGUGGAUGAAAAGAACUUGAUCAAAAUAUUGUUUAAUGGUCGCAAACCUGAUAUGAAAGAGGUGAUUCGCAUGAAGGAACCAUUGACUCUUACACAACACAAAUUGGCGGUGCUAAGAAUGCAGAGCACGACGUUCUGUAGCGUGAUUAGCUCGGCCGCUGGUGAAGGGCGGGGAGGCUGACAAAGACAGACGUCGGGAACUCGUGCUGCGUCAUAUACGAGUAAACCACAGACGGAAACUCAGAAGAGCGACUCAAUAGUAAACAAGGAGAACACACAAUCGCAAUGUAACUAUGUGAGACCACGUCUUUUACACUCUGAUGCAUAACUUGAUCGCAUGAGAAGGGAUAAGAUCUGUUUCAAGUGCAAAGCACCGUGGUCCCAGGCUCACAAAAUGGAGUGUCCAAAUAGAAUGUUACGAGUACUUACGGUGAUCAACGGAUUAGAAAUGAAAGUAAUGGAUUCCGUGGAGGAAGAAGAGUUCCAUGAUUCAUCGAAUCAACAAGUUCUACAUACGUUAUCAUUGAAUUCUUAUUUGGGCAUUGACUCUCCGAAGACUACGAAGAUGAGAGGUUUCAUAAACAAUACAUAGGUGAUAGUCAUGCUUGAUAGUGGAGCAUCUCACAACUUCAUUACACCUGACGUUGUGAACAAGCUAUGUUUGAAAGUUUCUGCGGAUAGUAUCUUGAACGUGUUGUUGGGAAAUGGAGUGACUGUGAACGCAUUGGAAGUAUGCCAAGCAGUUUCGUUCUAAUUAAAUCAAACCAACUGCACAAGUGACUUCAUCUCUCUUGAACUGGGGAAUGUAGAUGUGAUACUCGGUAUUCAGUGGCUUGAAACGUUAGGCAAAUGCGAGGUAGACUGGAAGGAACAAGUCUUGUCGUUUGUCUACAACGGGAACAAGGUGACUUUGUUAGGCGAGAAGGAGUUACAUUGCACCAAGUUCUCUUUCAAGUCAUUGAAACCAUUCUAUACGAGUAGCAAGACAGGAAGGGAAGCGCUUCUUGCUACUUCUAUAGCAACAUCUCCAUUUCCAGAAGUUCGUGAAUAAUUCACCCAUUUACUUCAGGAGUUUGCGAUGUGUUCGCCAUUCCGACUACACUACCACCAAUUCGUGGUCAAGAACAUGCGAUCAACUUACUUCCUGGAGUAUCUUCGGUCUCUGUCCGUCCAUACCGAUACCCCCAUGCUAGCAAAGUCACAUUGGAAAAGAUGGUUACAGAUAUGUUAGCUGCGGGUAUUAUACGACCAAGCACAAGCUCUUUCUCUUGUCCGGUUCUACUGGUCAAGAAGAAAGAUGGCUCAUCACGGUUUUGUGUGGAUUAAAGAGCACUAAAUCGGACCACUGUAUUGGAUAAAUAUCUAAUUCCUGUAAUUGAUCAGUUACUCGAUGAAUUACACGGCGCUGCGGUCUUUACCAAGCUUGAUUUACGUUCUGGUUACCAUCAGAUCAGGAUGGUGGAGGAAGACAUACCAAAGACUGCAUUCAGAACAAUUGAAGGACAUUACGAGUUCUUAGGCAUGCCUUUUGGAUUGACUAAUGCACCUGCUACCUUUCAAGCUCUGAUGAAUAAAGUGUUCAAGCCAUUUUUUCGCUGCUUCGUCUUGGUCUUCUUCGAUGAUAUCUUGAUCUAUAGUCGGAACCAUGCUGAGCAUGAGGAUCAUCUUAGACAAGUGUUACAGGUGUUGUGUGAUCAGAAAUUAUUUGCUAAUGAGAAGAAAUGCACAUUUGCGGCACCAAAAGUGGAAUAUUUGGGUCAUAUUAUAUCUGAACAAGGGAUAGCUACUGAUUCAGCAAAGACGGAGGCGAUGACUCAAUGGCCAAGUCCUCAGACAGCGAAACAACUACGUGGUUUCCUCGGUUUGACGGGAUACUAUCGCCGUUUUGUUCAGUAUUAUGGCACUAUUGCUCGACCGUUGACUUCGUUGUUAAAAAAAGAUCAGUUUGCGUGGACUUCAGAAUCUCAGGAAGCUUUUGAUAAGUUGAAGAAAUCAAUGGUCAGUGCUCCAGUGUUAGCUCUACUUGACUUCUCUCAGGUGUUUGUGAUCGAAUCAGAUGCUUCAGGUUAUGGGUUGGGAGCCAUUCUAAUGCAGAAUAAAAGGCCUAUCGCAUUCUUCAGUCACGCUCUGACUCCACGGAAUGGCGAUUGUCAUGGCUAUAAGAAAAUGGAAACAUUACCUUCUCGGUCGAAAGUUUCAUGUUCAUACCGAUCAGCGAAGUUUAAAAAUUCUACUGGAGCAGAAAGAAGUUAAUCUCGAGUAUCAGAAAUGGUUAACGAAGAUUUUGGGAUUUGAUAUUGAUAUCUUCUACAAACCAGGUCCGGAAAACAAAGCCGCAGAUGGUUUAUCUCGUUGUAUGUCUGCUGCAUUGUUGUUGUUGUCUUUGACGUCUCCUACUGCUCUUCAAUGGGAAGAUUUAUAUAAGGAAAUUGACGAUGAUACAAAGAUACAAGCUCUUAUUCAGAAACUGCGUAGUGGGGAAUUGCAAUCUAAGAAGUAUACUGAGGUGGAUGGGAAGUUGUGGUCGAAGAGGCGUCUUGUUAUUCCACAGACUUCAAGAUUCAUUGCUGACAUUUUACGUGAGGUUCACGAUAGUAAAUUGGGAGGUCAUUCUGGGGUGUUAAAGACUUUGAAGAGAGUGCAAUGUUCCUUCUAUUGGAAGGAGAUGUAUAAACAAGUUCGAGAGUAUGUGGCGGCUUGUGUCAUUUGCCAAACACACAAACAUUCAACCUUAUCUUCAGCUGGUCUUUUACAACCUCUCCCUAUUCCGGAGCAGAUUUGGGAAGAUAUUAAUAUAGAUUUUGUGGAGGGGCUUCCCGUUUCCAAUGUAUUCAAUUCGGUUAUGGUGGUGAUUGAUCGUUUAAGCAAAUUUGUGCAUUUUGUGUGUCUUAAACAUCUGUUUACUGCAUUGGAUUUGGAUGUGGCAAAAAAAUUUGUGAAGGAGAUUGUUCGUCUACAUGGGUUUCCGAAGAGUAUCACGUCUGACAGGGAUAAGAUUUUUCUCAGUUCCUUUUGGAAGGAGGUGUUUCGUCUCACCGGAACUAAGUUGCAGUAUAGUACUGCCUUUCACCCUCAAAUAGAUGGACAAUCUGAGGUGUUGAAUCGAUGUUUGGAGUCUUAUUUGAGAUGUUUCUCUUCCUCACAUCCGAAAUCAUGGUAGUCGUAUUUGGCAUGGGCAGAACUCUGGUACAACACGACCUAUCACAAGUCUAUUCAGACGACUCCGUUUAAGAUUGUGUAUGGUCGUGAUCCUCCAUCAAUACUGCGUUUUGAAUCAGGUUCUACGAAUAACUUCGAGUUGGAGAGAGCCUUAAGGGAACGAGAUGAGAUGUUGUUAUUUUUGAAGCAAACAUUAGCCAGAGCUCAAGAAAUUAUGAAGUCACAAGCGGAUAAAUCGAGGAGGGAUGUUCAGUUGAAGGUUCGAGAUAUGGUGUUUCUGAAACUUUAACCGUAUAGACAGAAGUCUGUGGUGAAUCGAGUGUGUCAGAAGUUAGCUGUGAAGUUUUAUGGUCCAUACAGAGUGCUUGAGCGUAUUGGAGCCACAGCUUAUAAGUUGCAGUUACUUCCAAGUGCCAAGAUUCAUCCGGUAUUUCAUAUAUCACAGUUGAAGUUGGCAUUGGAUUCUCAUGAUCAGUUGUUCCUGAGGAUAUUCUAGAGAAACGUUAUGAUGCGAAGGGUGAGCUGGAGUUGUUGGUCAAGUGGAAGGGACGUUCUUCGUUGGAAAACUCGUGGGUUCUCUAUCUGGAAUUUGUGACCAGUUUUACUGAUUACCAGCUUAAGGGCAAGCUGGAUUUUGUUGGGGGAAGUAUUGAUAGGUUCAGGAAAGUUUAUAUACGUAAGAAGUUGAGGGGAAAGGAGAAGGUGACAGAGGAAAGCGAGGGAAAUAUUUCAAAUGGAGAACCUGUGGGUUGAGAAGGAGUCUUUGAAGAAUAAGAAAGUCUAAGACCCUUGGUUUGAGAGGGAGGCUUUGCAGUUACGGAAGAGAAGUGAGGAGCUCAAGUUAAAUAGAGAAGUCGUUAGUUUGUUAUGCUUAUGCUUUGUAUGUGAUUGUAGAGAGACAAUAUGAGUCCUCUGUUUCCAGUCGAUGGUGAUGAACUCGUGAUGAGAGUGAUUCAUUGUUGAGAUACAAAGUUGUAAACACUUCU
rnacentral:lncRNA from 1 species